rnacentral:rRNA from 1 species
ACUCAAAGGAAUUGACGGGGGCCCGCACAAGCGGUGGAGCAUGUGGUUCAAUUCGACGCAACGCGAAGAACCUUACCUGGGCUCGAACGGGUAGUCAACGGCGGUGGAAACAUCGCUACCCCGCAAGGGGGUCUAUUCGAGGUGCUGCAUGGCUGUCGUCAGCUCGUGUCGUGAGAUGUUGGGUUAAGUCCCGCAACGAGCGCAACCCUUGUCCUGUGUUGCCAUCAUUCAGUUGGGAACUCGCAGGAGACCGCCAGCGAUAAGUUGGAGGAAGGUGGGGAUGACGUCAAGUCCUCAUGGCCUUUAUGUCCAGGGCUACACACGUGCUACAAUGGACGGUACAAAGCGCAGCGAACCCGCGAGGGGGAGCCAAUCGCAAAAAACCGUUCUCAGUUCGGAUUGCAGGCUGCAACUCGCCUGCAUGAAGCUGGAAUCGCUAGUAAUGGCAGAUCAGCACGCUGCCGUGAAUACGUUCCCGGGCCUUGUACACACCGCCCGU